UACUAUGAUCAUACCACCCUGAAUGCACCUGAUCUGGUCUAAACUUGGUAGGUAGGGUUGGGCCUGGUUAGUACUUGGAUUGGAGAAUAAUUUUUUAAAGUAC
rnacentral:rRNA from 1 species